rnacentral:lncRNA from 1 species
AUGUCAACCACGCGUUUUAAACGGUGCACUCAGUGUGCCGCUAAGAUUCCAGAUUCCGACGGCCACGCUAAGUGCCUUUUCUGCCUUGGCGAAAGCCACGUCGUCGGUACCUGCCGUUUUUGCCUGGCCUUUACAGCUCAGGCCAGAAGAAAUAGAACUGCGAGACUCCGUGCAGCUCUUUACGAAAAAACUCUUGCUCCUGAGGCUUCCACCUCGGCCUCGAUGGCGUCCAGACCUGCUCCGUCGGUAUCAUCUAAAACCUCGAAAACCUCGAGACCGCGACCGACCAAACCACCCUGCACGGUGACCACCGCUACGGUAUCCACCCGGUCGGGCAAGAUGGGCCCUUCAUCAACUUCGAGUUCGGUGGCUUCGGCCAUUUCCACUCGAUCCCGCCUGGCUUCGCCGCCAUCUUCUUCCGCCAUGAAGAUUGCCUUUAAGAGGGCUCAGGAGGAAUCCAGACGGGCUCAAUCUGACUCGGCAGCUGUAUGCCCGAUUCCCCCGACGCCGGGAAAAUCGCUGAGGGUCGCGUCGAAACAACCCCCAGCAAAGAAACGAAUGAUCCAGAGGUCGUCCUCCUCAGCGUCUUCGAAGGACGUCCCCUCCUCUGGGCCUUCCUCUAGGAGAUCCUCUCCUAUCCAACCAGCACAACGCCUCCGCUCCUCUUCCUCUCCUCAUGGUCAGUCCUCGGAUGCGGACGCUCAAGCCUCCCCCGACCGGUCGGUCAGGACAGUUAUUAAGGCUCCCCAGCCGGCACCAUCUCGUCUUCCGGCUCGACAAGAACUCUUUCCCCCGGCUCAAACACCUGAGAGGGGUAGACAGAUGACGCGCUUAGCCCGCGCCGCCCAGGCCUCCGCGUCCAAGGGCGUUCCUCCACAGCCGGCUCUCCCUGCUCCUGAGGUAAUACCUCAUCAGGACUCUGCUUGUUUCUCCUCCCCGGUCCCCUCAAGGGCCCGAGGAGGACGACCCCGAUAUCGAACACCCCGAGUCGAUACUCUCCGCCUCCGUUGUCUCUCUCGGUCUCGACCUCUCCCCGCCUCACGACGCCUACGAGGUCGACCCACCUUCCCCGACGGAUAA